UCUUUGGCUCCUGCUAAUGCUGCUGCUGGUACCCAGGAGGAUGAUGAGUAUGCAGGCGAUUAUGAGGAUGAGGUUGAUCAAAAUCAGAACUACGUGCAGCCACCAGCACCACCACCAGCAGGUCGACGUCAGGUAUUUAUUCGCAAUGGUAGGCCUGCACCACCACCUCAGGUACGAGAUCAUGACCAUGUUCCUAAACUGAAAUUGAAUAUUACACCAUUUGAGGGUAGAUAUGUUCCUAAUAUAUAUCUUACUUGGGAGUUAGAAACUGAACAACGUUUUACAUGUUUGCAAUAUCCCAAGGAGAGACGGGUUGCUGCUACUGUUUGUGCUUUCACUAGUUUUGCAUGUGUAUGGUGGUCUGAACAUUGUAGAUUAUAUCCUAUUCCAGCUACUUGGGCUGCUUUGAAAACUGCUAUGCGUACUCGUUGGGUUCCACCAUAUUAUCAACGUGAAUUGCUUCAAAAAUUGCAGCGUUUAAGACAAGGAAAAAAUUCAGUAGAAGAAUAUUAUCAGGAAUUACAAACUGGCAUGAUUAAAUGUGGUAUUGUUGAGGAGAAUGAAGCUAUGCUUGCACGUUUUAUGGGUGGAUUAAAUAGAGAGAUUCAAACCAUUCUAGAGUAUAAGGAGUAUAGUAAUAUCACUCAUUUAUUUCAUCUUGCUUGUAAAGCUGAACGUGAAGUGCAGGAUCGACAAGCAUUUGCGCGAACUAACUUUUCUGCAGGUCGACCUUCAUCAUGGACACCACGUGCAUCUUCUACUUCAACUGCACCAGCACCU
rnacentral:rRNA from 1 species